AAUUCGAAGCAACGCGAAGAACCUACCUAGGCUUGACAUCCCGAUGCUAUUCUAGAGAUAGAAAGUACUUCGGUACAUCGGUGACAGGUGGUGCAUGGUUGUCGUCAGCUCGUGUCGUGAGAUGUUGGGUUAAGUCCCGCAACGAGCGCAACCCCUAUUGUUAGUUGCCAUCAUUCAGUUGGGCACUCUAGCGAGACUGCCGGUAAUAAACCGGAGGAAGGUGGGGAUGACGUCAAAUCAUCAUGCCCCUUAUGACCUGGGCUACACACGUGCUACAAUGGUUGGUACAACGAGUUGCGAGUCGGUGACGGCGAGCUAAUCUCUUAAAGCCAAUCUCAGUUCGGAUUGUAGGCUGCAACUCGCCUACAUGAAGUCGGAAUCGCUAGUAAUCGCGGAUCAGCACGCCCGCGGUCCGAAUACGUUCCGGGCCUU
rnacentral:rRNA from 1 species